rnacentral:misc_RNA from 1 species
UACGUAGGUGGCAAGCGUUGUUCGGAAUCAUUGGGCGUAAAGCGCGCGUAGGUGGCCUGCCAAGUCCGGUGUGAAAGCCCGGGGCUCAACCCCGGAAGGGCAUCGGAAACUGGCUGGCUUGAGUCCGAGAGGGGCCAGUGGAAUUCCUGGAGUAGGGGUGAAAUCCGUAGAUAUCAGGAGGAACACCGGCGGCGAAGGCGACUGGCUGGAUCGGAACUGACACUAAGGCGCGGGAGCGUGGGUAGCCAACAGG